CAACCCUCAAGCCCCCGGGUUUGGUGUUGGGGAUCGGCUCUGCCCUUCUGGGCGGUGCCGCCCCCGAAAUACAUUGGCGGUCUCGCUGCAGCCUCCAUUGCGUAGUAGCUAACACCUCGCAACUGGAACGCGGCGCGGCCAUGCCGUAAAACCCCAACUUCUGAA
rnacentral:misc_RNA from 3 species